rnacentral:rRNA from 1 species
CGGGAGGCAGCAGUGGGGAAUUUUGGACAAUGGGCGAAAGCCUGAUCCAGCAAUGCCGCGUGUGUGAAGAAGGCCUUCGGGUUGUAAAGCACUUUUGUCCGGAAAGAAAUGGCUCUGGUUAAUACCUGGGGUCGAUGACGGUACCGGAAGAAUAAGGACCGGCUAACUACGUGCCAGCAGCCGCGGUAAUACGUAGGGUCCAAGCGUUAAUCGGAAUUACUGGGCGUAAAGCGUGCGCAGGCGGUUGUGCAAGACCGAUGUGAAAUCCCCGAGCUUAACUUGGGAAUUGCAUUGGUGACUGCACGGCUAGAGUGUGUCAGAGGGGGGUAGAAUUCCACGUGUAGCAGUGAAAUGCGUAGAGAUGUGGAGGAAUACCGAUGGCGAAGGCAGCCCCCUGGGAUAACACUGACGCUCAUGCACGAAAGCGUGGGGAGCAAACAGGAUUAGAUACCCUGGUA